rnacentral:rRNA from 1 species
AGUGAACGCUGGCGGUAGGCCUAACACAUGCAAGUCGAACGGCAGCACAGUAAGAGCUUGCUCUUACGGGUGGCGAGUGGCGGACGGGUGAGGAAUACAUCGGAAUCUACUUUUUCGUGGGGGAUAACGUAGGGAAACUUACGUUAAUACCGCAUACGACCUACGGGUGAAAGCAGGGGAUCUUCGGACCUUGCGCGAUUGAAUGAGCCGAUGUCGGAUUAGCUAGUUGGCGGGGUAAAGGCCCACCAAGGCGACGAUCCGUAGCUGGUCUGAGAGGAUGAUCAGCCACACUGGAACUGAGACACGGUCCAGACUCCUACGGGAGGCAGCAGUGGGGAAUAUUGGACAAUGGGCGCAAGCCUGAUCCAGCCAUACCGCGUGGGUGAAGAAGGCCUUCGGGUUGUAAAGCCCUUUGUUGGGAAAGAAAAGCAGCAGGUUAAUACCCCGCUGUUCUGACGGUACCCAAAGAAUAAGCACCGGCUAACUUCGUG